GGUGGCAAACCCGUCGGCGCAAUGAAAGUGAAGGCAGCUCUUUUGCUGCUGUGGCGAGAGCCUCCUUGCGAGGCGCAUCGUCGACCGAUCCCAAGCUACGCUGUGGCGGGAUUUGAGUGAGAGCGUGCCUGUUGCGACCCGAAAGAUGGUGAACUAUGCCUGAAUAGGGUGAAGCCAGACGAAAGUCUGGUGGAAGCUCGUAGCGAUUCUGACGUGCAAAUCGAUCGUCAAAUUUGGGUAUAGGGGCGAAAGACUAAUCGAACCGUCUAGUAGCUGGUUCCCUCCGAAGUUUCCCUCAGGAUAGCUGGAGCCCGGUGCAGUUUUAUCAGGUAAAGCGAAUGAUUAGAGGUCUUGGGGCUGAAACGGCUUCAACCUAUUCUCAAACUUUAAAUGGGUAAGAAGCCCGGCUUGCUCGGUUGAAGUCGGGCGUUAGAAUGCCGGGGCUCCCAGUGGGCCAUUUUUGGUAAGCAGAACUGGCGAUGUGGGAUGAACCAAAUGCCGGGUUAAGGUGCCGGAAUCGACGCUCAUCAGAUCCCAUGAAAGGUGUUGGUUGAUACAGACAGCAGGAC
rnacentral:rRNA from 1 species